UACCAGCACCCCGAGUGGUCGGGACGUUUUAUUGGGCCUAAAGCAUCCGUAGCCGGUUCUACAAGUCUUCCGUUAAAUCAACUGCUUAACAGGUGGGCUGCGGAAGAUACUAUAGAGCUAGGAGGCGGGAGAGGCAAGCGGUACUCGAUGGGUAGGGGUAAAAUCCGUUGAUCCAUUGAAGACCACCAGUGGCGAAGGCGGCUUGCCAGAACGCGCUCGACGGUGAGGGAUGAAAGCUGGGGGAGCAAACCGG
rnacentral:rRNA from 1 species